UUCUUAUCAAGAGAGACGGAGGGACUGGCCCUAUGAUGUCCGGCAACCAGAAGAUUUUUAUUUCAUGGUGCUAAUUCCAGCAGGUAUUAAUAUGAAAAGCCUGAUAGAUAAGAG
rnacentral:ncRNA from 19 species